GAUGAACGCUGGCGGCGUGCCUAAUACAUGCAAGUCGAGCGAGAAUCUGAUGAUCUGAGAUUCGUCAAAGAGAAUCAGAGGAAAGCGGCGGACGGGUGAGUAACGCGUAGGCAACCUGCCCUUAGCAGAGGGAUAGCCAUUGGAAACGAUGAUUAAAACCUCAUAAUGCUGAAGAGUCACAUGUCUUUUCAGCCAAAGAUUUAUCGGCUAAGGAUGGGCCUGCGUCUGAUUAACUAGUUGGUGAGGUAACGGCCCACCAAGGUGACGAUCAGUAGCCGACCUGAGAGGGCGGACGGCCACAUUGGGACUGAGACACGGCCCAGACUCC
rnacentral:rRNA from 1 species